CCCUGGCUCAGGAUGAACGCUGGCGGCGUGCCUUAAUACAUGCAAGUCGAGCGAAUGGAUUAAGAGCUUGCUCUUAUGAAGUUAGCGGCGGACGGGUGAGUAACACGUGGGUAACCUACCCAUAAGACUGGGAUAACUCCGGGAAACCGGGGCUAAUACCGGAUAAUAUUUUGAACUGCAUAGUUCGAAAUUGAAAGGCGGCUUCGGCUGUCACUUAUGGAUGGACCCGCGUCGCAUUAGCUAGUUGGUGAGGUAACGGCUCACCAAGGCGACGAUGCGUAGCCGACCUGAGAGGGUGAUCGGCCACACUGGGACUGAGACACGGCCCAGACUCCUACGGGAGGCAGCAGUAGGGAAUCUUCCGCAAUGGACGAAAGUCUGACGGAGCAACGCCGCGUGAGUGAUGAAGGCUUUCGGGUCGUAAAACUCUGUUGUUAGGGAAGAACAAGUGCUAGUUGAAUAAGCUGGCACCUUGACGGUACCUAACCAGAAAGCCACGGCUAACUA
rnacentral:rRNA from 1 species